rnacentral:rRNA from 1 species
GACGAACGCUGGUGGCGUGCUUAACACAUGCAAGUCGAACGUGAUUUUUGUGGAAAUUCUUUCGGGAAUGGAAAUGAAAUGAAAGUGGCGAACGGGUGAGUAACACGUGAGCAACCUACCUUACACAGGGGGAUAGCCGUUGGAAACGACGAUUAAUACCGCACGAGACCACAGAAUCGCAUGAUAUAGGGGUCAAAGAUUUAUCGGUGUAAGAAGGGCUCGCGUCUGAUUAGCUAGUUGGAAGGGUAAAGGCCUACCAAGGCGACGAUCAGUAGCCGGUCUGAGAGGAUGAACGGCCACAUUGGAACUGAGACACGGUCCAAACUCCUACGGGAGGCAGCAGUGGGGAAUAUUGCACAAUGGGGGGAACCCUGAUGCAGCGACGCCGCGUGAGCGAAGAAGGUUUUCGAAUCGUAAAGCUCUGUCCUAUGAGAAGAUAAUGACGGUAUCAUAGGAGGAAGCCCCGGCUAAAUACGUGCCAGCAGCCGCGGUAAUACGUAUGGGGCGAGCGUUGUCCGGAAUUAUUGGGCGUAAAGGGUACGUAGGCGGUUUUUUAAGUCAGGUGUGAAAGCGUGAGGCUUAACCUCAUUAAGCACUUGAAACUGGAAGACUUGAGUGAAGGAGAGGAAAGUGGAAUUCCUAGUGUAGCGGUGAAAUGCGUAGAUAUUAGGAGGAAUACCGGUGGCGAAGGCGACUUUCUGGACUUUUACUGACGCUCAGGUACGAAAGCGUGGGGAGCAAACAGG